rnacentral:rRNA from 1 species
GACGAACGCUGGCGGCGUGCUUAACACAUGCAAGUCGAACGGUGAAGCGCCUUCCUUUUUGGUGGGUGUGGAUGAGUGGCGAACGGGUGAGUAACACGUGAGUAACCUGCCCCCUUCUUCUGGAUAACCGCAUGAAAGUGUGGCUAAUACGGGAUAUUCUGGGUCUGUCGCAUGAUGGGUCUGGGAAAGAUAUUGUUUCGGUGGGGGAUGGGCUCGCGGCCUAUCAGCUUGUUGGUGGGGUGAUGGCCUACCAAGGCGGUGACGGGUAGCCGGCCUGAGAGGGUGGACGGUCACACUGGGACUGAGACACGGCCCAGACUCCUACGGGAGGCAGCAGUGGGGAAUAUUGCACAAUGGGCGCAAGCCUGAUGCAGCGACGCCGCGUGGGGGAUGGAGGCCUUCGGGUUGUGAACCUCUUUCGCCAGUGAAGCAGGCCUGCCUCGUUUGUGGGUGGGUUGACGGUAGCUGGAUAAGAAGCGCCGGCUAACUACGUG